rnacentral:rRNA from 1 species
GGAGUUAGCCGGUGCUUCUUCUGCGAGUAACGUCACAGAUGUAAGGUAUUAACUUACACCCUUUCCUCCUCGCUGAAAGUGCUUUACAACCCGAAGGCCUUCUUCACACACGCGGCAUGGCUGCAUCAGGGUUUCCCCCAUUGUGCAAUAUUCCCCACUGCUGCCUCCCGUAGGAGUCUGGGCCGUGUCUCAGUCCCAGUGUGGCUGAUCAUCCUCUCAGACCAGCUAGGGAUCGUCGCCUAGGUGAGCCUUUACCUCACCUACUAGCUAAUCCCACCUGGGCUUAUCCAUCAGCGCAAGGCCCGAAGGUCCCCUGCUUUCCCCCGUAGGGCGUAUGCGGUAUUAGCAGUCGUUUCCAACUGUUAUCCCCCACAAAUGGGCAAAAUUCCCAGGCAUUACUCACCCGUCCGCCGCUCGUCAUCUUCAAAAGCAAGCUUUUGAAAUGUUACCGCUCGACUUGCAUGUGUUAGGCCUGCCGCCAGCGUUCAAUCUGAGCCCAGUAGUACGUACCCUAACGUACCUUGAACGUGGGGACGUCGGGGGCCUAAAGGGGGCCGAAACGGGACGUACGAGUAG